UAGACCGGCUUUGGGGGGGAAAGGCGGAGCCCGGUUUGCGAUGAGGCGGACUGCAUGAUAUGGCUCCUCCCAAUCAGUGAAAACAAGCCCGAGAGAUCCCAGCAUUUUUACUCCUUUAUUUGUACUGUGCUCACUGCUAAUACUGGUUCCAUUACUCUGUGUGUGUGAUGUUGAUGGCAACGUGAUGACGUCAGGGAGCCUGCCCAAAUAAAUCAAGCAAGCCAGCAAGCCACCCAGAGUUUUAUUCCAAGGUCCGGUGAAGAAUCAGUCUCUUCCAGUCAGCAACAGAACGCGUUUUAAGGAGUAAGCCUUGGGUUGCCAGCCCUUCAGGAUUGGCUGGCUGGAGUCUCCUGGAAUCGGCAUCCAUCCCCAGGUGACAACUAAAAGUCCUGGAGAUUUUAAUGGCUUGAUAUAUAGGUGGGUGCGGAGGCAGAACCUUCCACGAAUAGCUUUAGUCAGAGCUGGCAACCUGAAAUAAGCCUCGUCUGAACAGAGGGGAAUUUACUUCCGGUUAAAAUUCUAAAGUAUUGCCACCUAUUUCUACAUUGAUUUCAAUGUAU